GGCGUCUGCAACAACAGGCGCUCUGCGGCUCUUACUCGGCACUUCACCUCGUAACCACGCCCCCACGGGCUUCCAGUUUAUUUGAAAAAGUGAAAGUAAAGAGAGGGAGAAACUGGCUCUGCAGAGCGAGCGUGGGCCGAGUGAAAGAGGAAAAAGCCAGACAGAAGAAGCCCCUGGGGACAGCAGGCAGGCUGGCUCCUGCACGUUAAGGCAGGAGAAACACAAGUUCAAGGCCAGCCUGGCAACUUGGUUCCCAAAAUGCCGAUCUGGGAGUUUACGGAGCCUCUCCACACCUGUUAUACCUAGCUGCUGUGUUACGGAAAUGAGAGAAGGCUGGAGGCGUGUGGUUGUGGAAAGGACGUUAGUGAAAAACAAACAUGAGCUUGGCUCCGAGACCAUCCUGCAGCAAUCUAAAUUCCUGCUAGAAAAGAAGACAGAGAAAACAUUCGAUAAAUACUGGCAUGUACACUACCCAACAGCUAAGCACACUCGCUUUUAUCGCUACUAGCUCGUAACUGCAGAGACGCAGCGAAGUCUUCUGUAAGUGGACCCUUGACUUACGAGCUCAGUUUGUUCCCAAAGGGCUUACAGCUCAUGUUGUCGAGGAAGGCUCAAGCUCCUCUCCACAGCCUUCAGGCCGAUCUCGGUGUCCUUAGACAGACACUGGCCCAGGAUUUCUCAAUUAAGCCCACACAGGAAAGGAUGCUGUCAGUGUUCCGUCCAGAACUCUGGAGGGUUAAAUCUGCAUCUAAGAAGCAUCCAUCUGGAAGCAAAGCGGCCGGCAUUCAGGUCAUAACUCAAUACUCUGAUCAUAAACUAAAAUGAAAAUUCUGGUCAUAACCCAAACAGCUUGUAAGUCAGGCCAGUCGUAACACGAGGGUCUGGUGUACUCCUAUUUUUAUGGGCUUUUCAGGCACCAGAAUGCAAAGGCUUCAAUGGACAUAGUGCAUUUUGAAAAGAAACCUCUGCUUUCUUAUGGAAGAUAAGAUAUGUCAUAAUUAUCAGCAAAGGCCUUGGUAUCAAGUAUGUACACUUUUCCCAGGGGUUUCAGACCCGACUAUGUGUGAGACACCGUGCCAGGCACCGGACUAGCUCAGGGACCUUCCCAGACGUGAUCUCCGCUCUCGCGAAGUUUAACAGUCCAUGCCCUGCAAAGACUUGAUGCUGUACACUUCUUAAUGCCUGAUGCCCAGCUGAGUUAUUUGGUCAGAGGUGAAAGAGCAGAGUCACCGUAUGUCCUCUCAGGAACUCUGCACACAACAGUGACGGCGACAGCUGCUUCCUGUUUGACAUGCCAAAACAAAUGCUUCAGCCGAAGUUUGUUUUUGCAAAAAUAAAUAUAGCACAACUAAGGAGUCUGUGAUAGACUUCUACAACGUUAAGUGAUUAAAGUUCUUCUGAUAAAGGAUAAUAGAGUUGUUUCACACAUACACACAUGUAUACAGUUUCAAGUGUUGCUAGAACUAGUGCUGAAGUAUUUUUCAGGUUUCCAGUAUCAUUUAUAAUUGAACAUUUCUACUUGCUGGCACAUACAGGAAAAUGAAAAAUGGAUACCUGUUUGAACCUCCAAUAUAAUUAAUGGUAUACGUCAACUUUUAGAUUUCCUUUAAAUGAUAUUUGUAAGAUAUUUAAAAGUUCAAUGUAUUAGUUCACUCACCCUGAGCUUCUGAAAUAUUAUUCUGAUAGUAAGAUCUUUCACAUUUUCAAUUUUUUUUUUAACGUUUUUAAUGAUAUUGUUUAUAGAAUGGGAUUUCUUCCCCUGGAAGUAGGGAAUGAACCAGGGGCCUUCAUACUAAUCUACAUGUCCAGCAUUUUUAAAAUUUUGAGAUAGGGUCUCACUAAGUUGCUCAGGCUGGGCUCAACCAUUUG